rnacentral:rRNA from 1 species
AUUGAACGCUGGCGGCAGGCUUAACACAUGCAAGUCGAGCGGGGGAAGGCAGCUUGCUACCGGACCUAGCGGCGGACGGGUGAGUAAUGCUUAGGAAUCUGCCUAUUAGUGGGGGACAACAUGUCGAAAGGGAUGCUAAUACCGCAUACGUCCUACGAGAGAAAGCAGGUGAUCUUCGGACCGUGCGCUCAUAGAUUAGCCUAAGUCGGAGUAGCUAGUUGGUGGGGUAAAGGACUACCAAGGCGACGAUCUGUAGCGGGUCUGAGAGGAUGAUCCGCCACACUGGGACUGAGACACGGCCCAGACUCCUACGGGAGGCAGCAGGUGGGAAGAUUGGACAAUGGGGGGAACCCUGAUCCAGCCAUGACGCGUGUGUGAAGAAGGCCUUAUGGUUGUAAAGCACUUUAAGCGAGGAGGAGGCUACUCUAGUUAAUACCUAGGGAUAGUGGACGUUACUCGCAGAAUAAGCACCGGCUAACUCUGUGCCAGCAGCCGCCGUAA